rnacentral:rRNA from 1 species
CCUACGGGUGGCAGCAGUGAGGAAUAUUGGUCAAUGGACGAGAGUCUGAACCAGCCAAGUAGCGUGAAGGAUGACUGCCCUAUGGGUUGUAAACUUCUUUUAUAUGGGAAUAAAAUGUUCCACGUGUGGGAUUUUGUAUGUACCAUAUGAAUAAGGCACGGCUAACUCCGUGCCAGCAGCCGCGGUAAUACGGAGGAUCCGAGCGUUAUCCGGAAUUAUUGGGUUUAAAGGGAGCGUAGGUGGAUUGUUAAGUCAGUUGUGAAAGUUUGCGGCUCAACCGUAAAAUUGCAGUUGAAACUGGCAGUCUUGAGUACAGUAGAGGUAGGCGGAAUUCGUGGUGUAGCGGUGAAAUGCUUAGAUAUCACGAAGAACUCCGAUUGCGAAGGCAGUUCACUGGACUGCAACUGACACUGAGGCACGAAAGUGUGGGUAUCAAACAGGAUUAGAUACCCGAGUAGUC